rnacentral:rRNA from 1 species
GACAGAGGUGCUGAGCGUUAGGCGGAAUCACUGGGCUUAAAGCGUGUGUAGGCGGAUCUGUAAGUACCUUGUGAAAUCCCACGGCUCAACCGUGGAACUGCUUGGUAUACUGCGGGUCUUGAGCCACCUAGGGGCAAGUGGAACAAACGGUGGAGCGGUGAAAUGCGUAGAUAUCGUUUGGAACGCCAAUGGUGAAAACAACUUGCUGGGGGUGUGCUGACGCUGAGACACGAAAGCCAGGGGAGCAAACGGG